GCAAGUCGAACGCCCCUUUAGGGAGGAGUGGCAGACGGGAGAGUAACGCGUGGGAACGUGCAUAUUGGUAAGGAAUAACUUAGGGAAACUUAAGCUAAUACCGUAUAAGCCCUUCGGGGGAAAGAUUUAUCGCCAAUAGAUCGGCCCGCGUUAGAUUAGCUAGUUGGUGGGGUAAUGGCUCACCAAGGCGACGAUCUAUAGCUGGUCUGAGAGGAUGAUC
rnacentral:rRNA from 1 species